AGCAGCCGCGGUAAUUCCAGCUCCAAUAGCGUAUAUUAAAGUUGUUGCAGUUAAAAAGCUCGUAGUUGAAUUUCGGGGUUAGCAGGUCGGUCGUGCCAUCGGUAUGAACUGGUCUCGCUGAUCCCUCCCUCUUGACGAACUGUGAUGCCAUUAAUUUGGUGUCGCAGGGAAUCAGGACUGUUACUUUGAAAAAUUAGAGUGUUUAAAGCAGGCUCACGCUUGAAUACAUUAGCAUGGAAUAAUGAAAUAGGACGUUUGAUCCUAUUUUGUUGGCUUCUAGGAUUGACGUAAUGAUUAAUAGGGAUAGUUGGGGGCAUUAGUAUUCAAUUGUCAGAGGUGAAAUUCUUGGAUUUAUUGAAGACUAACUACUGCGAAAGCAUUUGCCAAGGAUGUUUUCAUUAAUCAAGAACGAAAGUUAGGGGAUCGAAGACGAUCAGAUACCGUCGUAGUCUUAACCAUAAACUAUGCCGACUAGGGAGUCGGAUGAUGUUUAAUUUUUAAUUGUACUCU
rnacentral:misc_RNA from 1 species